rnacentral:rRNA from 1 species
CGGCGAGUGAGCGGCAAAAGCUCAAAUUUGAAAUCUAGCACCUUCGGUGUUCGAGUUGUAAUUUGAAGAUGGUAACCUUGGGUUUGGCUCUUGUCUAUGUUCCUUGGAACAGGACGUCAUAGAGGGUGAGAAUCCCGUCUGAUGAGAUGCCCAUUCCUAUGUAAGGUGCUAUCGAAGAGUCGAGUUGUUUGGGAAUGCAGCUCUAAGUGGGUGGUAAAUUCCAUCUAAAGCUAAAUAUUGGCGAGAGACCGAUAGCGAACAAGUACAGUGAUGGAAAGAUGAAAAGAACUUUGAAAAGAGAGUGAAAAAGUACGUGAAAUUGUUGAAAGGGAAGGGCAUUAGAUCAGACUUGGUGUUUUACGAUUAUCUUCUCUUCUUGAGUUGUGCACUCGUAUUUCACUGGGCCAGCAUCGAUUCGGAUGGCAAGAUAAUGGCAGUUGAAUGUGGCUUCACUUCGGUGGAGUGUUAUAGCUUCUGCUGAUAUUGCCUGUCUGGAUCGAGGGCUGCGUCUUUUGACUAGGAUGCUGGCGUAAUGAUCUAAUGCCGCCCGUCUU